ACUUAAGCAUAUCAAUAAGCGGAGGAAAAGAAACCAACAGGGAUUGCCCCAGUAACUGCGAGUGAAGCGGCAAAAGCUCAAAUUUGAAAUCUGGCGCCUUUGGCGUCCGAGUUGUAAUUUGGAGAGACAUCUUCGGGGAUGGCAUACUGUCCUAAGUUCCUUGGAACAGGACGUCACAGAGGGUGAGAAUCCCGUGCCUGGAUGGUUGUCCAUCCCCAUUGUGAAGGGUCUUCGACGAGUCGAGUUGUUUGGGAAUGCAGCUCAAAAUGGGUGGUAAACGUCAUCUAAAGCUAAAUAUUGGCGAGAGACCGAUAGCGCACAAGUAGAGUGAUCGAAAGAUGAAAAGCACUUUGAAAAGAGAGUAAAAUAGUACGUGAAAUUGUUGAAAGGGAAGCGCUUGAGACCAGACACGGUCCGUGGUAAUCGCCCGCGCUUCGGUGCAGGUGCUCUUACCAUGACCGGUGCCAGCAUCGGUUCUGGCGGUGGGAUAAAAGGCAGGGGAAUGUAGCUUCCUCACUGGGAGUGUUAGAGCCCCUGUCACAAUGCCACCAGUCGGGACCGAGGACUGCGCUUCAGCUAGGAUGUUGGCGUAAUGGUCUUAAGCGACCCGUCUUGAAACACGGACCAAGGAGUCUAACAUCUAUGCGAGUGUUCGGGUGGAAAACCCUUGCGCGUAAUGAAAGUGAA
rnacentral:rRNA from 1 species